rnacentral:rRNA from 1 species
AUUGAACGCUGGCGGCAGGCUUAACACAUGCAAGUCGAGCGGAUGAAGGGAGCUUGCUUCUGGUUUUAGAGGCGGACGGGUGUGUAAUGCCUAGGAGUCUGCCUGGCUGUGGGGGAUGACGACCGGAAACGGGCGCUACUACUGCCUACGUCCUGAGGGUGAAAGUGGGGGAUCUUCGGACCUCACGCUCUUAGAUGAACCUAGGUCGGAGUAGCUAGUUGGUGGGGUAAGGGCCUACCAAGGCGACGAUCCGUAACUGGUCUGAGAGGAUGAUCAGUCACACUGGAACUGAGACACGGUCCAGACUCCUACGGGAGGCAGCAGUGGGGAAUAUUAGGCAAUGGGCGAAAGCCUGAUCCAGCCAUGCCGCGUGUGUGAAGAAGGUCUUCGGAUUGUAAAGCACUUUAAGUUGGGAGGAAGAGCAGUAAGUUAAUACCUUGCUGUAUUGACGUUACCAACUGAAUAAGCACCGGCUAACUACGUG